UUUUGUUUUGUUUUGUUUUUUGACAGGGUCUUGCUCUGUCACCCAGGCUGGAGUGCAGUGGUGCCAUCUCAGCUCACUGUAACCUCUGCCUCCUGGGUUCAAGUAAUUCUCCUGUCUCAGCCUCCUGAGCUGAGACAGGCAAGAGAAUUGCUUGGGCACGGGAGGCGGAGGCUGCAGUGAGCUGAGAUCACGCCACUGUACUCCAGCAUGGGCAACAGAGCAAGACUCCAUCUCAAAAAUAAAUAAAUAAAUAAAAGCGUAAUAGGCUCCAAAACUGUUCCAAAUUACUCCUAGGCUUUUUCCCCCUAAAAAUUAUGUGCAUUAGGAGAAAAUGGGAGGAAAAAUGAAAUUUCUCUAUCUUUUCUCAUUGAUGAAAGGUUAGAGAUUGUGUUGUUGUAAAAUACCCUUUUGCUCUGGGCCCCAAGCCAAAAAUAAAGGGAGGAAACCAGGCAAUUAGAUGUUUGAUUUGAUGAAAACUUUUC
rnacentral:lncRNA from 1 species